GACGAACGCUGGCGGCGUGCCUAAUACAUGCAAGUCGAACGGUCUUUUCUAUGGAAGCUUGCUUCCGCUGAGAAGAUAGUGGCGAACGGGUGAGUAACACGUGGGUAACCUGCCCAUAAGAGGGGGAUAACAUCCGGAAACGGGUGCUAAUACCGCAUAGUUUUCUUGAUCGCAUGAUUGAGAAAGGAAAGACGGCCUUUGUGCUGUCGCCUAUGGAUGGACCCGCGGCGUAUUAGUUAGUUGGUGAGGUAACGGCUCACCAAGACGAUGAUACGUCGCCGACCUGAGAGGGUGAUCGGCCACAUUGGGACUGAGACACGGCCCAAACUCCUACGGGAGGCAGCAGUAGGGAAUCUUCCGCAAUGGACGAAAGUCUGACGGAGCAACGCCGCGUGAGUGAAGAAGGUUUUCGGAUCGUAAAACUCUGUUGUCAGAGAAGAACAAGUCGGAGAGUAACUGCUCCGGCCUUGACGGUAUCUGACCAGAAAGCCACGGCUAACUACGUGCCAGCCGCCGCCGUAAUAC
rnacentral:rRNA from 1 species